AGUGAACGCUGGCGGUAGGCCUAACACAUGCAAGUCGAACGGCAGCACAGGAGAGCUUGCUCUCUGGGUGGCGAGUGGCGGACGGGUGAGGAAUACAUCGGAAUCUACUCUGUCGUGGGGGAUAACGUAGGGAAACUUACGCUAAUACCGCAUACGACCUACGGGUGAAAGCAGGGGAUCUUCGGACCUUGCGCGAUUGAAUGAGCCGAUGUCGGAUUAGCUAGUUGGCGGGGUAAAGGCCACCAAGGCGACGAUCCGUAGCUGGCCUGAGAGGAUGAUCAGCCACACUGAAACUGCGACACGGUCCAGACUCCUACGGGAGGCAGCAGUGGGGAAUAUUGGACAAUGGGCGCAGGCCUGAUCCAGCCAUACCGGGUGGGUGAAGAAGGCCUUCGGGUUGUAAAGCCCUUUUGUUGGGAAAGAAAUCCAGCUGGCUAAUACCCGGUUGGGAUGACGGUACCCAAAGAAUAAGCACCGGCUAACUUCGUGCCAGCCGCCGCCGUAA
rnacentral:rRNA from 1 species